rnacentral:rRNA from 1 species
AAAGCCCGCAAGGGUAAGUAGAGUGGCGCACGGGUGAGUAACACGUGGACAACCUGCCUUCGAGUGGGGAAUAACCUUCCGAAAGGAGGGCUAAUACCGCAUAACACCUCGGGACACAAGUUCUGGGGUUGAAAAGAGCAAUUUGCUCGAAGAGGGGUCCGCGCCUGAUUAGCUAGUUGGUGAGGUAACGGCUCACCAAGGCUUCGAUCAGUAGCCGUCCUGAGAGGGAGCACGGCCACACUGGAACUGAGACACGGUCCAGACUCCUACGGGAGGCAGCAGUGGGGAAUUUUUGGCAAUGGGCGAAAGCCUGACCAAGCAACGCCGCGUGGGUGAUGAAGUAUCUUGGUACGUAAAACCCUUUCGGCAGGGACGAAAAAAAUGACGGUACCUGCGGAAGAAGCCCCGGCUAACUCCGUGCCAGCAGCCGCGGUAAUACGGGGGGGGCAAGCGUUGUUCGGAAUUACUGGGCGUAAAGGGCGCGUAGGCGGUUGGAUAAGUCAGCUGUGAAAACCACGAGCUUAACUCGUGGCCUGCAGUUGAGACUGUCUGGCUUGAGUGUGGGAGAGGAGAGUGGAAUUCCUGGUGUAGCGGUGAAAUGCGUAGAUAUCAGGAGGAACACCGGUGGCGAAGGCGGCUCUCUGGACCACAACUGACGCUGAGGCGCGAAAGCUAGGGGAGCAAACAGGAUUAGAUACCCUGGUAGUCCUAGCUGUAAACGAUGGAUACUUGCUGUGGGGGGGUGUUAAAUCCCCCUGUGGCGGAGCUAACGCAUUAAGUAUCCCGCCUGGGGAGUACGGUCGCAAGGCUG